UGACAGGGCAAUCACUAUAACAUGGUUAGUCCAUACCACCACAUCCAUAAAUUCAAUUAUGCAGGUAUAAGUUAUACACAUACAUGCAUCCAUCACACUACCAACCACAAGCCAACACGAUCAAAAUAUAAAUAAAUAUAAAACUAUUUUGCUUUGUCUGGAUCAUAGCAUAUCAAACAUAUAUAGUGCAAAAAUAUGUAUAUCAUGU
rnacentral:lncRNA from 1 species